rnacentral:rRNA from 1 species
GACGAACGCUGGCGGCGUGCCUAAUACAUGCAAGUCGAACGAAGCUUUUUUAACUGGUGCUUGCACCGACUUAAACAACUGAGUGGCGAACGGGUGAGUAACACGUGGGUAACCUGCCCAAAGCGGGGGAUAACAUUUGGAAACAGAUGCUACUACCGCAUAACCACAGAAACCACAUGGGUUCUGUGUCAAAGAUGGUUUCGGCUAUCACUUUGGGAUGGACCCGCGGCGUAUUAGCUAAUUGGUAAGGUAAUGGCUUACCAAGGCAAUGAGACGUAGCCGAACUGAGAGGUUGAUCGGCCACAUUGGGACUGAGACACGGCCCAAACUCCUACGGGAGGCAGCAGUAGGGAAUCUUCCACAAUGGACGGAAGUCUGAUGGAGCAACGCCGCGUGAGUGAAGAAGGUUUUCGGAUCGUAAAACUCUGUUGUCAGAGAAGAACGUGUGCGAGAGUAACUGUUCGUGCAGUGACGGUAUCUGGCCAGAAAGCCACGGCUAACUACGUGCCAGCAGCCGCAGUAA